GGCGCAGAGGGAGAUACCGAGGCCGAGAGGGGCCAAGCCCCUCAGUCGCCCCAGAAGACGGGAACACGGGGUAAAGAUGGUUUACAUCUCGAAUGGACAAGUAUUGGACAGCCGGAGUCAGUCCCCAUGGAGAUUAUCUUUGAUAACAGAUUUCUUCUGGGGAAUAGCAGAGUUUGUGGUUUUGUUUUUCAAGACUCUGCUUCAGCAAGAUGUGAAAAAGAGAAGAGGAUAUGGAAGCUCCUCUGAUUCCAGAUAUGAUGAUGGAAGAGGGCCACCAGGCAACCCUCCCAGAAGAAUGGGUCGAAUUAAUCAUCUACGUGGCCCUAGUCCUCCUCCAAUGGCUGGUGGAUGAGGAAGGUAAAUGUCUGCUCUAGGAAGCAGACAAGUGGACAUGCACAUUCAUAACUGAGGGAAACCAUCAAGAAGUAGAGCACUGACCAUGCUGGACAAGGAAUUGAAUGUGUAUGCCUGAACAAGGAUUGCUCUGUGUCCUCACAGACAAAUGAGGUCGUGCUGGGAAUUCCCUCCCCAGGGAUCUGGCAUGACUGACAUGCAGUUCUAUAAAUGUACAUGUUUGUCUCAUCAUUUUGUAUAGUUUAUGAAAGUAUUAAUGUAGUUUUAAUAAGUAAAUAUUUUUAGGUUACAGAACUUGACUUCUCAUCUUUGUAUAAUUAAAAAACUCGAUUUGAAGAAAAAUAAAACGUUGUGUAUUCAGUACAAUUAGUGUCACCUCUUUAACUUCUGAAAUAGUAUUCAUUGUUAAUUUGUUCUCAUUUAUAAAUAAAUCACAUUGUAUUUAU